rnacentral:rRNA from 1 species
AGUGAACGCUGGCGGUAGGCCUAACACAUGCAAGUCGAACGGCAGCACGGGAGAGCUUGCUCUCUGGGUGGCGAGUGGCGGACGGGUGAGGAAUACAUCGGAAUCUACUCUGUCGUGGGGGAUAACGUAGGGAAACUUACGCUAAUACCGCAUACGACCUACGGGUGAAAGCAGGGGACCUUCGGGCCUUGCGCGAUUGAAUGAGCCGAUGUCGGAUUAGCUAGUUGGCGGGGUAAAGGCCCACCAAGGCGACGAUCCGUAGCUGGUCUGAGAGGAUGAUCAGCCACACGGGAACUGAGACACGGUCCAGACUCCUACGGGAGGCAGCAGUGGGGAAUAUUGGACAAUGGGCGCAAGCCUGAUCCAGCCAUACCGCGUGGGUGAAGAAGGCCUUCGGGUUGUAAAGCCCUUUUGUUGGGAAAGAAAGCCAGCUGGCUAAUACCCGGUUGGGAUGACGGUACCCAAAGAAUAAGCACCGGCUAACUUCGUGCCAGCAGCCGCCGUAA